UUAAGCGACUAAGCGUACACGGUGGAUGCCCUGGCAGUCAGAGGCGAUGAAGGACGUGCUAAUCUGCGAAAAGCGCCGGCGAGGUGAUAUGAACCCUUGACCCGGCGAUGUCCGAAUGGGGAAACCCAGUGCAAUCCGUUGCACUAUCGUUAACUGAAUACAUAGGUUAACGAGGCGAACCGGGGGAACUGAAACAUCUAAGUACCCCGAGGAAAAGAAAUCAACCGAGAUUCCCCCAGUAGCGGCGAGCGAACGGGGAGCAGCCCGGAGUCUGAAUCAGCUUGUGUGUUAGUGGAACGGUCUGGAAAGUCCGACGGUACAGGGUGAUAGUCCCGUACACGAAAAUGCACAUGCUGUGAACUCGAAGAGUAGGGCGGGACACGUGGUAUCCUGUCUGAAUAUGGGGGGACCAUCCUCCAAGGCUAAAUACUCCUGACUGACCGAUAGUGAACCAGUACCGUGAGGGAAAGGCGAAAAGAACCCCGGCGAGGGGAGUGAAAAAGAACCUGAAACCGUGUACGUACAAGCAGUGGGAGCCUCUUUAUGGGGUGACUGCGUACCUUUUGUAUAAUGGGUCAGCGACUUAUAUUCUGUAGCAAGGUUAACCGUAUAGGGGAGCCGAAGGGAAACCGAGUCUUAACUGGGCGUUAAGUUGCAGGGUAUAGACCCGAAACCCGGUGAUCUAGCCAUGGGCAGGUUGAAGGUUGGGUAACACUAACUGGAGGACCGAACCGACUAAUGUUGAAAAAUUAGCGGAUGACCUGUGGCUGGGGGUGAAAGGCCAAUCAAACCGGGAGAUAGCUGGUUCUCCCCGAAAGCUAUUUAGGUAGCGCCUCGUGAACUCAUCUUCGGGGGUAGAGCACUGUUUCGGCUAGGGGGCCAUCCCGGCUUACCAACCCGAUGCAAACUACGAAUACCGAAGAAUGUUAUCACGGGAGACACACGGCGGGUGCUAACGUCCGUCGUGAAGAGGGAAACAACCCAGACCGCCAGCUAAGGUCCCAAAGUCAUGGUUAAGUGGGAAACGAUGUGGGAAGGCACAGACAGCCAGGAUGUUGGCUUAGAAGCAGCCAUCAUUUAAAGAAAGCGUAAUAGCUCACUGGUCGAGUCGGCCUGCGCGGAAGAUGUAACGGGGCUAAACCAUGCACCGAAGCUGCGGCAGCGACACUAUGUGUUGUUGGGUAGGGGAGCGUUCUGUAAGCCGUUGAAGGUGUGCUGUGAGGCAUGCUGGAGGUAUCAGAAGUGCGAAUGCUGACAUAAGUAACGAUAAAGCGGGUGAAAAGCCCGCUCGCCGGAAGACCAAGGGUUCCUGUCCAACGUUAAUCGGGGCAGGGUGAGUCGACCCCUAAGGCGAGGCCGAAAGGCGUAGUCGAUGGGAAACAGGUUAAUAUUCCUGUACUUGGUGUUACUGCGAAGGGGGGACGGAGAAGGCUAUGUCAGCCGGGCGACGGUUGUCCCGGUUUAAGCAUGUAGGCGGAGGUUCCAGGUAAAUCCGGUACCUUGUUAACGCUGAGGUGUGAUGACGAGGCACUACGGUGCUGAAGUGAUAAAUGCCCUGCUUCCAGGAAAAGCCUCUAAGCAUCAGGUAACACGAAAUCGUACCCCAAACCGACACAGGUGGUCAGGUAGAGAAUACCAAGGCGCUUGAGAGAACUCGGGUGAAGGAACUAGGCAAAAUGGUGCCGUAACUUCGGGAGAAGGCACGCUGAUNUGUAGGUGAAGCCCCUGCGGGCGGAGCUGAAAUCAGUCGAAGAUACCAGCUGGCUGCAACUGUUUAUUAAAAACACAGCACUGUGCAAACACGAAAGUGGACGUAUACGGUGUGACGCCUGCCCGGUGCCGGAAGGUUAAUUGAUGGGGUUAGCGGCAACGCGAAGCUCUUGAUCGAAGCCCCGGUAAACGGCGGCCGUAACUAUAACGGUCCUAAGGUAGCGAAAUUCCUUGUCGGGUAAGUUCCGACCUGCACGAAUGGCGUAAUGAUGGCCAGGCUGUCUCCACCCGAGACUCAGUGAAAUUGAACUCGCUGUGAAGAUGCAGUGUACCCGCGGCAAGACGGAAAGACCCCGUGAACCUUUACUAUAGCUUGACACUGAACACUGGUCCUUGAUGUGUAGGAUAGGUGGGAGGCUUUGAAGCGUGGACGCCAGUCUGCGUGGAGCCAACCUUGAAAUACCACCCUUUAAUGGCUGGUGUUCUAACGUAGACCCGUAAUCCGGGUUGCGGACAGUGUCUGGUGGGUAGUUUGACUGGGGCGGUCUCCUCCCAAAGAGUAACGGAGGAGCACGAAGGUUGGCUAAUCCUGGUCGGACAUCAGGAGGUUAGUGCAAUGGCAUAAGCCAGCUUGACUGCGAGCGUGACGGCGCGAGCAGGUGCGAAAGCAGGUCAUAGUGAUCCGGUGGUUCUGAAUGGAAGGGCCAUCGCUCAACGGAUAAAAGGUACUCCGGGGAUAACAGGCUGAUACCGCCCAAGAGUUCAUAUCGACGGCGGUGUUUGGCACCUCGAUGUCGGCUCAUCACAUCCUGGGGCUGAAGUAGGUCCCAAGGGUAUGGCUGUUCGCCAUUUAAAGUGGUACGCGAGCUGGGUUUAGAACGUCGUGAGACAGUUCGGUCCCUAUCUGCCGUGGGCGCUGGAGAAUUGAGGGGGGCUGCUCCUAGUACGAGAGGACCGGAGUGGACGCAUCACUGGUGUUCGGGUUGUCAUGCCAAUGGCACUGCCCGGUAGCUAAAUGCGGAAGAGAUAAGUGCUGAAAGCAUCUAAGCACGAAACUUGCCCCGAGAUGAGUUCUCCCUGA
rnacentral:rRNA from 1 species